AUCGGUUUAGGUUAUUAUUUGUACAGUCAAAUAUCUUAUGAUAAAAUUUCUCUAAUAGAUCUUAAGUUUUUAUUGUGGUUAAUAAGAUUUUAUCCAAUAAUUGAAAAUGGCGAUACCAGAUAUUCGUGACCUGGCUGAAUUCAACAAAGCUCUGGCAGAUGCUGGUAAUAAAUUGGUGUUGGUUGAUUUCCAUGCUCUUUGGUGUGGUCCAU